rnacentral:lncRNA from 1 species
UUAGUUUAAAUUUGACUUUAACUUGGAUGACAAGAAUGUACAAAGUCCGUGCACAAAGUGGGGGUGGAAAUUUUACGAUUUUUAUGAUAUCAUUGAAAAUGAUAUUGGAAGGAAAUACUUUGAAAAUCGAAAUGAUUGCCAACAGUAUUGCAGAAAUAUGAAAGGUUGUAGAGGUUAUUCAUGGUUUAAUAACUACUGUUACUUUAAAAGUGGCGCACAAACCUUUAAGCCAAACAUAAACGUGUAUUCCGCUAUGAUAUGUUAAAAACCAAAUUUAUAUUCUUUAACAGAAAAUUUAUUUAAAAUGUAGUGUAAGAAAAAGUAGUAUAAAAUUUAUAAAGAACUUU